rnacentral:misc_RNA from 1 species
AAAAAAAAAACUCGUUUUCUUUUCUUCUCUUCUCUUCUCUUGUUGCGGCGAAGGGGGAGAGGAAGGUCGAGGUCGACGAGAUGGGCGGCGGCAAUGGGCAGAAGUCGAAGAUGGCGAGGGAGAGGAACAUGGAGAAGAACAAGGGCGCCAAGGGGAGCCAGCUUGAGGCCAACAAGAAGGCCAUGAACAUCCAGUGCAAGAUAUGCAUGCAGACUUUCAUCUGCACCACCUCUGAGACCAAGUGCAAAGAGCAUGCUGAGG